rnacentral:snoRNA from 1 species
GUGAAGGAUGACUUCAAGAUCUUUGCCUCUUUCCUGGGGACGUGGUGUGCAGUGGUUACAAAGAGCAGCCAACUCCAUAGUGUAUGAGCUUGUUGUAUGUAUGGUUGCCCUAAAGGACCUUGGAGACAGUU